GCUCUUAACUUUGUUGGUAAGUAAAGCUUGAAAGCUGCAGAAGCACAACUCUUUUCAUCUUGAAGCAAUGACACGUACAAGACUAAACCAUGUUCUGCUGCUGAAACACAUAUACAAAGAGUUUCUUCAUGCACUUCAUGUGCACUUGUCCUGGGAGAUUAUACUGGAAUUAGAAGGGAGCCUCCUGUGCACAUUUUCUUUGAUUAUAUUGAUCUAGAAAGUUCUUCAGUAAGCCUGGCUGAGUGAAACUGAGAGUCUGUCAAGACUUCUGGACGAACAGUUUUAAGCUGUCUACUUCCUGAAAGCAAUACUGGAAUCAGAAAUCCUGCUGUGACGGUGCAGUCUACCAGGUCACUUCUGUCUGGGUUGCAUGCUAAUCAACUCAACAUGAAAUGCUGAUGGUGUUAAAGUAUUCUGUACCACUCAUAAUGGUUAACUAAAAUGCAAACAUCUGAUUCAUGUCACACGAGAUUUACCACCCAGGAAACGCAAAAUUAUGACAGAUAUCAGGCCAUCAUGUUCAUCUCAAACCCCUAGUACUUCAAACUCUUAUAUUAUAGGAGAAUGAUUUCAGCUUUCCCAAUGAUACCCGUGUCCUCUUUGUAAUGUGCAAAUUUUAUUUCACUAACGCCUCUCAUUCCAUCUACAUCAAAACUUAGAGGGAAUCUAAUGAACAGAGACAAACUGAAAUGAUUGCCAGCAUCAAAGAGAAAACUGUUUUAUUCUGUGUGUAAAGACAAUAAUGAGAAUUUAGUUUUGGUUUUCAUUUGCUUUUCUUCUUCUUGUAGAUUAAAAAAAGUCAAAGUAUGUUCUCAAAUUUUUAAUAAAAGGCCUUCAAGUAUUGAACUAAUAUGCUAGUUAUAUUUCUUUUUAGAAUGAAUUUUUAGUUCAGGGUUUAUAAUGAAAGUACUGAUGAGACAUUAACCAUCCGAAUGUGAACAGUGUGACUAUAGUGUUUGCUUGAACUAAAAAGGAGAUGAAACAUGGUCAAAUGAGGAUAUUUUAGCUGCCAUAAACUCUAACUGGAUAAGACUUGAAUCCGCAAGAGUAAAGGAAAGACAUUUAGUACAGCUAAGCCUAUUCCAAUUCUGGAAAUAUUAAACAUCCAUAUGCACGUUUCAUACAGGUAUGAGCUCAUGCUAUGAUAAGUUUCUCAGUAACCUAGAUGAAUGCUUUAGACUCCUGUUUAGGAUGUUUUCUGAACUUUCUUUCUGGUCUUAUUGGCACUGCAUACAAGUAAUAAAGGCAAUUUCAUUGUCACACUGUAGGACAAGUAGAAGUGAGGUUGGAAUCAAGCCUUGGCAUUUCAGUUGAUAUUUUUACAAAAUGAGCAAAGAAUCAAGAUCAGCCUUCUUACACCAGGACUUGCUCAGUGGUGAUAAAGUUAGAAAUAAUUGAGCUACCAUUCCAGAAAACAAAACCAAGGCACUUAACAAAAUUAAG